AAUAAAUGAGGACGGGCAUGGUGCAUCAUGCUUGCCAAGUAAUCAGAUCCAAAAGACCUCAGUGACACAUAAAAGCUUUGGAAAUUCAUGGAAGCCUCCAAUCAGCACCAACAAUUCCAAUCGUGCUACAGAAAAACUCAACCGAUCAACAAGGCACUCAGUAACUUCAAUGACAAAGAUCACACGAGAAAAUGCUUCUCCAAAUAUUCACCAU